GGAAGGUAAAUUGGCCUCAGGGCCAAGCCUGUCUCGAAAACAGUGCGCGCCGCGAAGAGCGGCGUGGGGUGCGAGUCCUCUACCUUCCU
rnacentral:tRNA from 1 species